rnacentral:rRNA from 1 species
UACGGAGGGUGCAAGCGUUAAUCGGAAUUACUGGGCGUAAAGCGUGCGCAGGCGGUUUGUUAAGUCUGUUGUGAAAUCCCCGAGCUCAACUUGGGAAUUGCAAUGGAUACUGGCAGGCUGGAGUAUGGUAGAGGAAGGUGGAAUUCCCGGUGUAGCAGUGAAAUGCGUAGAGAUCGGGAGGAACACCAGUGGCGAAGGCGGCCUUCUGGACCAAUACUGACGCUAAAGCACGAAAGCGUGGGGAGCAAACAGG